rnacentral:rRNA from 1 species
AGUAACGGCGAGUGAAGCGGCAACAGCUCAAAUUUGAAAUCUGGCCCCUCGGGGUCCGAGUUGUAAUUUGUAGAGGAUGCUUUUGGUGAGGUGCCGCCCGAGUUCCCUGGAACGGGACGCCACAGAGGGUGAGAGCCCCGUCUGGCUGGCCACCGAGCCUCUGUAAAGCUCCUUCGACGAGUCGAGUUGUUUGGGA